GACGAACGCUGGCGGCGUGCUUAACACAUGCAAGUCGAACGGAAAGGCCCUGCUUGCAGGGUGCUCGAGUGGCGAACGGGUGAGUAACACGUGGGUGAUCUGCCCCUUACUUUGGGAUAAGCCUGGGAAACUGGGUCUAAUACUGGAUAGGACCAUGCUGUAGGUGGUGUGGUGGAAAGAUUAGUUUCGGUAAGGGAUGAGCUCGCGGCCUAUCAGCUUGUUGGUGGGGUAAUGGCCUACCAAGGCGUCGACGGGUAGCCGGCCUGAGAGGGUGGACGGCCACAUUGGGACUGAGAUACGGCCCAGACUCCUACGGGACGCAGCAGUGGGGAAUAUUGCACAAUGGGCGCAAGCCUGAUGCAGCGACGCCGCGUGGGGGAUGACGGCCUUCGGGUUGUAAACUCCUUUCAGCCAUGACGAAGCCCUUGUGGUGACGGUAGUGGUAGAAGAAGCACCGGCUAACUACGUG
rnacentral:rRNA from 1 species